GAAAGACUAAGGGAGCGUUUGGCCUAACUUUUAAAAAACUUUUUUGGACUGAAAAGUGAUUUUCGGCUCAAUAGAACGUUUGGCAACUCACUUUUAAAAUCUGAUUUUUCUUUUUAGAAUCAGAAAACAGAUUUUGAAGACCUCAAAAUCAGAAGCAGAAAAAAGCUGCUUCUUGAAGACUGAUUCUGAUUUUGGAUUUAAACUUCAAAAUUUUAUUUUUAUUUUAGUUUUAAUAUUUAAAUUUAAUUUUAAUUUUAAAUUUUGAAUUUUAAUUUUCAGAUUCAUUUUCAAAUUUUUAAAUUUUAAAUUUUGAAUUUUAAAUUUUGAAAUAUAGAUUUUAAAUUUCAAAUUUUAAUUUUAAAUUUUAAAUCUCAAAUUUUAGAUUUUAAAAUUUCAAAUUUUAUUUCAAAUUUCAGAUUUUAAAAUUUCAAAUUUCAAAUUUCAAAUUUCAGAUUUUAAAAUUUUAAAUUUCAAAUUUCAAAUUUUAAAUUUUAAAUUUAAAAUUUAAAUUUCAAAUUUUAAAUUUCAAAUUUGACAAUUUAGAUUUUAAAAUUUAAAUGUAAAAAUUUAAAAUUUUUAAAUUUUAAAUUAUAAAUUUUAAUCUUCAAAUUAUAAAUUUCAAAUUUUUAAAAUUAAAAAUUUAUAAAUUUUAAUCUUCAAAUUAUAAAUUUAAAAUUUUAUAAUUUAAAAUUUAAAAUUUUAAUUUUUAAAUUUUAAAUAUUCAAAUUUUAAAUUUUAAAUUUUAAAUAUUCAAAUUUUAAAUUUUAUAUUUUAAAUAUUCAAAUUUUAAAUUUUAUAUUUUAAAUUUCAUAAUUAUUUUAAAUUUUAAAUUUUAAAUUUAAAUUUUAAAUUUAAAUUUUAAAUUUAAAUUUUAAAUUUAAAUUUUAAAUUUUAAAGUUUAAAAUUUAAAUAUAUUUUUAAAAUUAAAUCGCUUUUCAAACAGCUUUUCAAAAUUUUUAAUUUGCCAAACAACUUUUUAAAAUCACUUCAGAAAAAAUCACUUUUAUCUAAACUCUGCCAAACGCUCUAUACCUUUUCCGCAAAAUCACUUCUCCAAACCAAAAUCACUUUUCAGAAAUUACUUUUUCAGAAGCUAGGCCAAACAGGUCCUAAAUUGCAAUGAAAAGUGAGAGAGAAAGAGCUUUCCAAAAUCAAAAUGUAAAAUUUUCAAUCUUGGUUCUCUCCC
rnacentral:lncRNA from 1 species